GCACUUGCUUUGGCAGCUCAUAUGCUAACACUGGAACAAUACAGGGAAGAUCAGCAAGGCCCCUGCAAGAGAAUGACACAUAAAUUCAUAGAGAUUCCAUAUUUCUUU
rnacentral:snRNA from 1 species